UAUAUAUAUAUAUAUAUAUAUAUAUAUAUGUAUAUGUAUAUUGAUAUGUAUUAGUGUGCACCUUUUGUGUUGUUAUCUUAAGCAUGAAUAAAACUAUUUUAACAUUAACACGGAAUGUUUUUUUUAAUCGAAAAUUCUUCGACACAAUUUGUAAAAAAUAUGACUUUCGACUCGCUCCAAAAAAUUAUUAUAUUACUACCGAGAGUAGUACGGAAAACCUAGACGUUAAAAUUAAGAACAUAAAUUCGUUAAAAUUAAAAAGUAGCAAAAAAAAUAAAAAUGGUUUGAAAGAUAGUACUAACAGUACUAGCAUUAACAACACUAGCAUUAACAAUACUAACAGUCAUAACACUAACAGUCAUAACACUAACAGUCACAGUAAUUACAAUAGAGAUGAUGUAUACAUUUUAAAUGGAAAAAUAUUAUAUUCACAAAAAAAUAAAAUAGAAAAAAAUGAAUUUAAAAUAAGAACUGGUAUUAAAAAAAUAAAAAAUAUAGACAACGAAAGUAAAUUAUUAAAUAAAAAGUUAAGUGGUAAUUUAAAAAAAAAUAAUUUUACAAAGUUAUCAGAUAAGCAAAUUAAAUCAGGUGGUAGUAUAAAAAUAGCACCGAGUAAAAAUGAUUAUUAUAAUGUAAACAAGGAAAGUGUUGGAAGAAUUAGUGACAUUAUUGGAACCACCAACAGUAACAUUAACAGUAACACUAACAUUAACCAUGAUAAUAUUAAUACAACCGAUAAAAUAAAAAGUAACAAAAACGAAACUACUUUCGUUAUACCCACUAUAAAUAACUUAAACAGUAUAUGUAAUGAUAAAAAGGUAGAUGUACGUUUUUUUAAUUCUACUAAAAAAAAUAAUGAAAAAUUAAAUAAUCCUACUAUGUUAAAUGAAACGAACGAAAAUUUUAUUAAAGAAACGGAUAAAACCAAAGAUACGAAUAAAUUAGGAGUUGUAAAUGAAAAAAGUGAUAAUAAAGAAGGAGACACAGAAAAAAAACAACAAAAAAGUAAUGAAAAGAGUAAUGGAGAGAGGAGUGAACAGAGUAAUGGAGAGAGGAGUGAACAGAGUAAUGGAGAGCAGAGUGAAAAGGGUAAUACUAACAUAUCAAAUAAUAAACAAAACAAUUCUAAUAUUUCAAGUGAAGUAAAUCAAAUAUUACAUAACACUCGUUCAAACAUAAACAAUAAUACAAAUAAUAAAAAAAAUGAUGAUAACGACGGGAAAGAAGAUGACAGUUGUAUUAAACAAGAUAUAUACGAAAUGAUUGAAGAGAUUA
rnacentral:lncRNA from 1 species